UACGUAGGGUGCGAGCGUUAAUCGGAAUUACUGGGCGUAAAGCGUGCGCAGGCGGUUUUGUAAGCCAGAUGUGAAAUCCCCGGGCUUAACCUGGGAAUGGCAUUUGGGACUGCAAGGCUUGAGUGCGGCAGAGGAGACUGGAAUUCCUGGUGUAGCAGUGAAAUGCGCAGAUAUCAGGAGGAACACCGGUGGCGAAGGCGGUUCUCUGGGCCUGUACUGACGCUGAGGAGCGAAAGCGUGGGGAGCAAACAGG
rnacentral:rRNA from 1 species